UGCCUAGGCUCUCAAAGGCGAAGAAAGACGUGAUAAGCUGCGAUAAGGUUCGGGGAGGAGCAAAUAUCUUUUGAUCCGGACAUUUCUGAAUGGGGAAACCCGGCUGGUUGAAGACCAGUCAUCCGCAAGGAGGCAAACCCGCUGAACUGAAACAUCUAAGUAGGCGGAGGAAGAGAAAACAAUAGUGAUUUCCGUAGUAGCGGCGAGCGAAGUGGAAAUAGCCCAAACCGGUUUUGUUUCGGCAAAAUCGGGGUUGUAGGACUACAAUAUCCGUAAAUAAGUAUAGCAGAAUCAUCUGGAAAGUUGAGCGAUAUAGGUGACAGCCCUGUAUGCGAAAUGCUUAUGAAGGUAGUAGUAUCCUGAGUAGGGCGGGACAUGUGAAAUCCUGUCUGAAUCUGCCAGAACCAUCUGGUAAGGCUAAAUACUCUUGAGAGACCGAUAGCGAACUAGUACCGUGAGGGAAAGGUGAAAAGAACCCUGAACAAGGGAGUGAAAAAGACCCUGAAACCGUGUGUUUACAAGCGGUCGAAGCCUUCGGGCGACGGCGUGCCUUUUGCAUAAUGAUCCUACGAGUUACUCCUCAUUGGCAAGGUUAAGAUUUUAAGGAUCGAAUCCGAAGCGAAAGCGAGUCUGAAUAGGGCGAUAUAGUCAGUGGGGGUAGACGCGAAACCUUGUGAUCUACCCAUGGGCAGGCUGAAGGCCGGGUAAAACCGGCUGGAGGGCCGAACGCACCAACGUUGAAAAGUUGGGCGAUGACCUGUGGGGAGGACUAAAAGUGUAAUCAAACUGGGAGAUAGCUCGUUCUCUCCGAAAUAUUUUUAGGAAUAGCCUCUUGCGGCAACUGUUGGGGGUAGAGCCACUGGAUACGGCUGGGGCCCUCGGGUACCCACUGUAACCAAACUCCGAAUACCAACAGCCAAGGCAAGGGAGUCAGCCCACGAGUGACAAUAUCCGUGGACAAAAGGGAAACAUCCCAGACCGCCAGCUAAGGUCCCUGAACAUUGCUUAGUUCUAAAGGAAGUCGAAGCGCAAAGACAGCCAGGAUGUUGGCUUAGAAGCAGCCACCAUUUAAAGAGUGCGUAAUAGCUCACUGGUCGAGGGUUUCGGCGCCGAUAAUGAUCGGGAAUAAGCAAUGUACCGAAGCUGCGGGCUGCGUAAGCAGCGGUAGGAGAGCGUUCCUGUCAGCAGAGAAGGCGUCCCGAAAGGGUCGCUGGAGCGUCAGGAAGUGAAUAUGCCGGGUUGAGUAACGAUAAAGCAGGUGAAAAUCCUGCUCGCCGAAAAUCUAAGGUUUCCUGGGGAAGGUAAAUCCGCCCAGGGUCAGCCGGGACCUAAGGUGAGGCCGAAAGGCGUAGCCGAUGGACGGCAGGUUAAUAUUCCUGCGCUACUGUGGAGAUCAAUCAUGAGUGCGGAUCGGUCAGCCCUGCGUAAGCACCAGCUUGCUGAGGCCCUUGAGGCCGCUGCAGGGGGCUCUGGUCCCGAGAAAAGCUCAUGUGGCAAAGCAGUACCCGUACCAAAACCGACACAGGUAGAUGAGGUGAAUAACCUAAGGCGCUCGAGAUAACGGAAGUGAAGGAAUUAGGCAAAUUGACCCCGUAAGUUCGCGAUAAGGGGGCCCUACCCCUCGGGGAGGGCGCAGAGAAAAGGCUCUGGCGACUGUUUAUCAAAAACACAGCACUGUGCUAACUCGCAAGAGGACGUAUACAGUGUGACGCCUGCCCAAUGCCGGAAUGUCACGGAAGCGGGUUAGCUUCGGCGAAGCUCGUAACCUAAGCACCGGUCAAUGGCGGCCGUAACUAUGACGGUCCUAAGGUAGCGAAGUUCCUUGUCGGGUAAGUUCCGACGCGCAUGAAUGGCGUAACGACUGGAGCACUGUCUCCACUUCCGACUCGGUGAAAUAGUAGUGGCGGUGAAGAUGCCGCCUACCCGCGACAAGACGGAAAGACCCCAUGAACCUUUACUAUAGGCUUUUAUUGCACAUGAGUUUGUAUUGCGUAGGAUAGGUGGGAGGCUUUGAAGCGGCC
rnacentral:rRNA from 1 species